rnacentral:rRNA from 1 species
AGCGAACGCUGGCGGCAGGCUUAACACACGCAAGUCGAACGCCCCGCAAGGGGAGUGGCAGACGGGUGAGUAACACGUGGGAACGUACCCUUUGGUUCGGAAUAACUUGGGGAAACUCAAGCUAAUACCGGAUAAGCCCUUAUGGGGAAAGGUUUACUGCCGAAGGAUCGGCCCGCGUCUGAUUAGCUAGUUGGUGAGGUAAUGGCUCACCAAGGCGACGAUCAGUAGCUGGUCUGAGAGGAUGAUCAGCCACACUGGGACUGAGACACGGCCCAGACUCCUACGGGAGGCAGCAGUGGGGAAUAUUGGACAAUGUGGGCAACCCUGAUCCAGCCAUGCCGCGUGAGUGAUGAAGGCCUUAGGGUUGUAAAGCUCUUUUACCCGGGACGAUAAUGACUGUACCGGGAGAAUAAGCCCCGGCUAACUUCGUGCCAGCCGCCGCAGUAA